rnacentral:misc_RNA from 1 species
UCCGGAUUAGCUCCGGCAGUCCCACUAGAGUGCCAAACUUAAUUGGGGCAACUAGUAGUAAGGGUUGCGCUCGUUGCGUCACUUAAGACAACAUCUCACGACACGAGCUGACGACAGCCAUGCAGCACCUGUGUUCAGGUUCCCGAAGGCACUCUCUUAUCUCUAAAAGAUUCCUGACAUGUCAAGAGCAGGUAAGGUUCUUCGCGUUGCAUCGAAUUAAUCCACAUCAUCCACCGCUUGUGCGGGUCCCCGUCAAUUCCUUUGAGUUUUAAUCUUGCGACCGUACUCCCCAGGCGGUCUACUUCUCGCGUUAGCUUCGCUACUAAGGUUCUACCCCCAACAGCAAGUAGACAUCGUUUAGGGCGUGGACUAC